rnacentral:tRNA from 1 species
GGCCGGGUAGCUCAGUGGACAGAGCGGCGAGCUGCUAACUCGACGGUCGCGGGUUCGAGUCCCGCCCCGGCCG